rnacentral:rRNA from 1 species
CAGCAGCCGCGGGAAUACGGAGGGUGCAAGCGUUAAUCGGAAUUACUGGGCGUAAAGCGCACGCAGGCGGUCUGACAAGUCAGAUGUGAAAUCCCCGGGCUUAACCUGGGAACUGCAUUUGAAACUGUCAGGCUGGAGUCUUGUAGAGGGGGGUGGAAUUCCAGGUGUAGCGGUGAAAUGCGUAGAGAUCUGGAGGAAUACCGGUGGCGAAGGCGGCCCCCUGGACAGAGACUGACGCUCAGGUGCGAAAGCGUGGGGAGCAAACAGGAUUAGAUACCCCGGUAGUCCCUGUCUCUUAUAC